AUGGGGAUUUCUCCGCCACAGAAAAAAAGAAGAGAGAGAGCAGCGCCCCGCUCGUCCUCGGCCGGCCGUGCUUGCCGGUCGCCCACGGGCGCCCUCGGCUGGUCGCGAGGGCACACCGCAUCAGGUCGACGAGCACCACAUCAGGUCGUCGUCAUCCUAGGCGUGCAGCCGUCGUCGUUCCCGUGCUCGCUGGCUGCUCUUGCCUUCUGCAGUUGUUCGCUCGCCCUCGCCUGUUUGCGGUCGCCUCCUGUUGGAGCACCGCACCGCCCUCUCCGCUCCAAGCUACAUAGCCGCCGCGCUGGUUGCCUCCUGUUGAAGCAUCAGUUGGUAGUUUCAUGGAGAAAAAUGGAUGUAGCCAUGUAG
rnacentral:rRNA from 1 species